rnacentral:rRNA from 1 species
UACGUAGGUGACCAGCGUUGUCCGGAUUUACUGGGCGUAAAGGGCGCGUAGGCGGCCUUCUAAGUCGAACGUGAAAUCCCCGGGCUCAACCCGGGAACUGCGUCCGAUACUGGAAGGCUUGAAUCCGGGAGAGGGAUGCGGAAUUCCAGGUGUAGCGGUGAAAUGCGUAGAUAUCUGGAGGAACACCGGUGGCGAAGGCGGCAUCCUGGACCGGCAUUGACGCUGAGGCGCGAAAGCCAGGGGAGCAAACGGG